UUAUGGCCUGGAAAGAUAAGUUUUCUUCUCUUGAGUCCGAUCUCUACUCUUCCUCUGAAGUCAAGCAAAAACUGGAAGACCA
rnacentral:sRNA from 1 species